rnacentral:rRNA from 1 species
GCAAGUCGAGGGGUAACAGGAGUGCUUGCACUCGCUGACGACCGGCGCACGGGUGCGUAACGCGUAUACAAUUUGCCUUAUACAGGGGGAUAGCCUUUAGAAAUGAAGAUUAAUACCCCAUGGUCUAUAGGAGUGGCAUCGCUUUUAUAGUAAAGAUUUAUCGGUAUAAGAUGAGUAUGCGUUCUAUUAGCUAGAUGGUAAGGUAACGGCUUACCAUGGCAACGAUAGAUAGGGGGCCUGAGAGGGAGAUC